ACGAACGCUGGCGGCAGGCUUAACCCAUGCCAGUCGCGCGCCCCGCAAGGGGAGCGGCAGACGGGUGAGUAACGCGUGGGAACGUACCUUUUGGUUCGGAACAACUCCGGGAAACUGGAGCUAAUACCGGAUAAGCCCUAACGGGGAAAGAUUUAUCGCCGAAAGAUCGGCCCGCGUCUGAUUAGCUAGUUGGUGAGGUAACGGCUCACCAAGGCGACGAUCAGUAGCUGGUCUGAGAGGAUGAUCAGCCACACUGGGACUGAGACACGGCCCAGACUCCUACGGGAGGCAGCAGUGGGGAAUAUUGGACAAUGGGCGCAAGCCUGAUCCAGCCAUGCCGCGUGAGUGAUGAAGGCCUUAGGGUUGUAAAGCUCUUUUGUCCGGGAAGAUAAUGACUGUACCGGAAGAAUAAGCCCCGGCUAACUUCGUG
rnacentral:rRNA from 1 species